CCUACGGGUGGCAGCAGUGGGGGAUAUUGGACAAUGGGGGAAACCCUGAUCCAGCGACGCCGCGUGAGUGAAGAAGUAUUUCGGUAUGUAAAGCUCUGUCAGCAGGGAAGAAAGAAAUGACGUUACCUGUCCAAGAAGCCCGGGCUAACUACGGGCCAGCAGCCGCGGUAAUAGGUGGGGGGCAAGCGUUAUCCGGAAUUACUGGGUGGAAAGGGAGCGUAGACGGUGAUGCAAGUCUGGAGUGAAAGGCGGGGGCCCAACCCCCGGACUGCUCUGGAAACUGUGUAACUUGAGUGCAGGAGAGGUAAGCGGGAUUCCUAGUGUUGCGGUGAAAGUCGUAGGUAAUAAGAGGGAAACC
rnacentral:rRNA from 1 species